rnacentral:rRNA from 1 species
CGUGCAAUCCUAUUUUGUUGGUUUCUAGGACCGCUGUAAUAAUUAAUAGGGAUAGUCAGGGGCAUUAGUAUUCAAUUGUCAGAGGUAAAAUUCUUGGAUUUAUUGAAGACUAACUACUGCGAAAGCAUUUGCCAAGGAUGUUUUCAUUAAUCAGUGAACAAAAGUUAGGGGAUCAAAGACAAUCAGAUACCGUCGUAGUCUUAACUGUAAACUAUGCCAACUAGAGAUUAGGCGAUGUUUCUAUCUUGACUCGCUUAGCACCUUACAAGAAAUCAAAGUUUUUGGGUUCUGGGGGGAGUAUGGUCGCAAGGCUAAAACUUAAAGAAAUUGACAGAAGGGCACCACUAGGCGUAGAGCCUGCGGCUUAAUUUGUCUCAACACAGAGAAACUCACCAGGUCUAGAUGAAAUAAGGAUUGACAGAUUAAGAGCUCUUUCUUGAUUUUUCAGGUGGUGGUGCAUGGCCGUUCUUAGUUAGUGGAGUAAUUUGUCUGCUUAAUUGCAAUAACAAACAAGACCUUAACCUGCUAAAUAGCCAGGCUAGCUUUGGCUAGUCGCUAGCUUCUUAGAGGGACUAUCAGCUCAAGCCAAUGGAAGUUUAAGGCAAUAACAGGUCUGUGAUGCCCUUAGAUGUUCUGGGCCGCACGCGCGCUACACUAACAGAGCCAUCAAGUUCAUUACCUUGGCCAAAAGGUCUAGGUAAUCUUGUUAAACUCUGUCGUGC